UACAUGGGGUGCAAACGUUGCUCGGAAUUAUUGGGCGUAAAGCGCACGUAGGUGGUCUGUUAUGUCAGAUGUGAAAGCCCUCGGCUUAACUGAGGAAGUGCACCUGAAACUGGCAGGCUUGAGUACGAAAGAGGGUCGCGGAAUUCCCGGUGUAGAGGUGAAAUUCGUAGAUAUCGGGAGGAACACCGGUGGCGAAGGCGGCAUCCUGGACCAACACUGACGCUGAGUGAGCGAAAGCCAGGGGAGCAAACGGG
rnacentral:rRNA from 1 species